CAAAGCUCACCGUUUGCUUGGUGGCCCACAGAUGUUCAUCUCUGGCGUGGAGACCGAAAGCGAACGGCUGCUGCA
rnacentral:pre_miRNA from 1 species